UCCCGUCCGUCUGACGUUCCCCUCCAUCUGACGUUCCCCUCCAUCUGACGUUCCCCUCCAUCUGACGUUUCUGACUGAGGAGCAGAACGCAUCACGCACAGGUACACACCUCCUCUCUCCACAGCACUACCGCUACCACUAGCACUAGCAUUAGCAUUACAUUAUAGCCACUUAGCAGACGCUCUUAUCCAGAGCGACUUACACAACUUUCUUUACACAGCAUUUACACUGCAUCCAUUCAUACAGCUGGAUGUAUACUGAAGCAAUGCAGGUUAAGCACCUUUUGCUCACGGGUACAACGGCCUGGGAAUCGAACUUGGUUAGAUGACCAGCUCCUUACCCUCUAUUCUUAGUGCAUUAGCGUAUACAUUUAAGCAGAAGCCAAGGGUUCUGGGGCUCUGGCUAUCAGGUGAAUUUUGAGUGGCACAGAGGUACAGUAUUUAAAACCUAUUUUGUUUGCCUUUUCUGUGUGAUACGUUUUACAGUUGCGUUGGAGACGGGUACGGUAAUUAGAGAGAGAGGAGCUGUAGCAGAACACCCCCUCCCCCCCCACCCCCCCCGUACCCCCGGGGCACGGAGAGGGCCUCAACGGGAAUCUUCAUUAAAUAUUAUGGUAGGAGCAAAAGCAAAUAAGGACGUUAAAGGAUUACAUUUGUCUGUGCGCGCUGCACCUACGCUAGCGAGAGGCGCCAGAUCAGAGAGAGAGAGAGAGAGAAAUGAGGACAGUCCUUACGGUUACAGCUCUCCACGGUGCGUUUGAAGUGCCACUCUCCCGGGGGAGGGGGGGUGUGUGGGAUCUCUCCCACAUUCGCGGUUAGAAUGUAACAUUAGCAGCUCAAAGCCUCGCUCUCUCGAUGUGCGAUCUUUGAUAAACGGCGCGGGUUGUGUAAUGGCCUCUCGGCCUCUGACAGACACUGUCGGAGGCUAGCUGAGGCUAGCAGAGGCUCAUUGAGUUUAGCAGGGGGUAGCAAAGGUUAGCUGAGGCUAGCUGAGGUUAGCAGGGGCUAGCAGAGGCUAACUGAGGCUAGCAGAGGUUAGCAGGGGCUAGCAGAGGUUAGCUAAGGCUAUCUGAGGCUAGCAGAGGUUAGCUGAGGCUAGCAGAGGUUAGCUGAGGCUAGCUGAGGCCGCUGAGAAACAGGAGCUCUCACGGGGGCCAGAAACAGAGCAGACCACCUCAGGGGGCGGUCCCGCCAGAUCACGUACAUGCGUGUGCGUGUGUGCAUGUGCUCAUGAAUGUACACCUGCUGAUCUUCUGCGAGUCGGCGUGUGACCCCGCGUGUACACGCGUUUGGCGCGUGUAUUCGGGUCUGCUGUCAGCGGCCAAUCGGAGAGCUUCGUUUCACAGAGCGAUCGGCGCCGACCUGCUACCGAUAUCCAUGUUGCCACGGCGAGAACGGACACUCGUGGGAGCAGUGCAUGUUGGGAGGACGUCGUGCAGAGCAGGGUGAGAUCAGCUGCUGCUGAUAAGACCGUGAAUAUCAUAACCCUGCUCGCCGCACAUUCGCUGAUGGCUCGAUUGGCAGACGUGUGCAUGUUCGUAAUCAAACGAUUGUGAAAUCAUCACGAUGACACUCACUGAUAAACAUACAGUAUGGAGAGGAAAGGGAAGUUAUGAAAUAGUGGUUAUCGCUCCUGUGUGAGUGUGUGUUGUGUGUUGUGUGUGUCUGUGUCUGUGAGAGAGAGUGAGCGAGAGAGAGGAGGAGACAGAUGUGCUUCCGCCUAGACUGUGAGAAAUACUCUGAAAUCAGAAAAAACAUUUCAGGACAUUUUCUAAAUUUAUAAACACAUUUCCUUCCCUGACAAAUGUGGAAAAGCUGCAAAUCCCUCUGGCAGAAGGGUCAAGGGUCAGAACAGGAAGUCUCGGCCUGUCACAACCAGAGGGACAGCGAGUAACCACUCAGCAAGAAUAUGACGACUGCACAGAUAAACAAUGUAUUAUCCGUUCCACUUACAGCAAGUAUUAUAAUUACGGUUAAUAAAUAAAGGCUUUCAAUAUUCUU